UGGAUUUGAUCCGCGAUUUGA
rnacentral:piRNA from 1 species